rnacentral:rRNA from 1 species
GACGAACGCUGGCGGCGUGCUUAACACAUGCAAGUCGAACGGAAAGGCCCUGCGUUUGUGGGGUGCCCGAUUGGCGAACGCGUGCGUAACAGGUGAGUAACCGACCCUUGACUUUGGGAUAACUUCAGGAAACUGGGGCUAAUACCGUAUAGGAGCUCCUGCUGCAUUGUGGGGGUUGGAAAGUUUAGGCGGUUGGGGAUGGACUCGCGGCUGAUCGGCUUGUUGGUCGGGUAGUGGCUUACCCAGGCUUUGACUGGUAGCCGGCCUGAGAGGGUGACCGGCCACCUGGGGACUGAGGUACGGCCCAGAGUCCUACGGGAGGCAGCAGUGGGGAAUAUUGCACAAUGGUCGGAAGCCUGAGGCAGCAACGCCGCGUGCGGAAUGACGGCUUUCUGGUUAUAAACCGCUGUAGGCUGUGACGAAGCGUGAGUGACGGUAAUGGGUAAAGAAGCACCGGCUAACUACGUG